rnacentral:lncRNA from 1 species
GAAAAUGACAGCACCUACCAAGGAAAAAUUCCAGUAUGAAGCCUGUUUUCAAUGAAGAGAUGGAGACUGACAUUUGCUGCAGAGAUGACUGAGAAGUUCUGUAGGCAGCUUCAGAAAUUUAGCUACUGUGUUGGCAAGACUUUUCUAUUAUACUUGAAUUAUAGUAUACUACUGUAGUGUUUUUUUGUGGCUGGGUUUGGUUAUCAGGAAGGCCACCAGGAUGUCUUCUGUUUGAAGCUGCCAGAAGCUUCCUGCAUGUCCAACAGAUCCAGAGCUGGCUCCAG